rnacentral:lncRNA from 1 species
AUCUUCUAAGCAGCAGAUUUAGGACCUGAUAAGAUUCCUAUUACUUGUCAGUAGAAUGUUGAUACUUAUUUCAGAUGAGAGCAGAACCAGGUCUGCAGUCCUGUGUGACGUUGAAAACUCAUCAAAUCUGUAUAUUAUUAAACCAAGUAGGGCAAUAUUUGUGGAAAUCUUGAAGUUAUCACAGAAAUCUCCCUUCCCUUUUUUUAUUAUGAGGUUAGUUUGCUGAAGCAUCUCUUCUAAUUUGUGUGAAUGUGGCAAGAGCAGUGAGGUAUACUCCUAACUUAAAUCAGUGUAAUAUUAAUAAACAACAAUGAAAACAAAGUACUGAAGCUAGCUGUUACAGCAGUGAAAGGUCAUUAUAUUGGCUAUUAAUUGUGUAAUUUGUCAGAUUUUAAGUAAAAGGAAAUUAAGAUUGAAAUUGUCCAAGAGAAGUCUGAGAUACAAUACUAUUAUAAAUUGUGAUUGCAUUUGUAUUACUUAUGUAGAAAUGGCACAAAAAUAGUCAUGACUUUGUCAUGGUGGAAUGAAUAGAGCACUUCUUUGUAAUUACUUUUGUGACUGAUAUUGUAGACUUUUCCAAAAUUUCUUCUGUAAAUAUUACCUACUACUAUUUUGCACAUCUUCUGUUCUAUAUAUUGUAAGAGACUAUUCUUUUAUAUAAUUGACUGAAAGUUUGCUGAGGAACAAGUCCAGGCAAGUCCUGGGCAAAGGCAGAGAAAUCUUUUGUCUUGAGGACACUGAUGGACAGGUCCUGGCUAAGGAUUGUGAAAUCCUCUAAGGAGCACAGAUGGACAAGGCCAGGGGCAUCGAGAGAGAGAUAAGCUGCUGCUAAUGGCCGGGAAGCGGUCUUUUUGUGUGGACUUAUCUCAAGGAAAAUGGCCAUCUCAGGAGGUAUGCACAGGACUCUUGCUCAAGCACCCAGGAAUGUCACGUAGGCAGCAGAAAAUGGAGAAUAAAAGAGGGUCCAAUAACCACAACGGGGGAAGCUGAUCCUUCACCACAACCACGGCAACGGGAGAGGCUUAUCUCUCACCACGACAGACUUGAGGGGUUCUCUGCCAACUGAUCUCUCACCGCAAUGGGUAGACGGAUCUCUACGUGGAGACUGAUCUCUCACCACGACACGAGCUUCCUGCCUUCCGAUCCUCCUCUACGGACCGUUUGCUGACGGACUUCCCUGGGCCUGCUACCUGAGACCUGCUGCUUCCUCCCUGACCUGCAUCCUCUCGCUGCCCCAGACCGGCCUCGCUGCUCCUGCCCUUCGGCCUCGGACCGUCGGAACAUCGUGCAACGGGACUGCUGCCGGAUCCUGGUGGUGACUAUCCCCGCUUUACGCAAUUCUUGCCUCUUUCUAUCUUUUCUAUCGCUCGCCUUCCCUUCCCCAUCACCCCAAUCCUUAAUAGCGUCCGUCCUCCCCUUUCC